GCUGGGCGUGGUGGCGGGCGCCUGUAGUCCCAGUUACUUGGGAGGCUGAGGCAGGAGAAUGGCGUGAACCCGGGAGGCGGAGCUUGCAGUGAGCCGAGAUUGCGCCCCUGCCCUCCAGCCUGGGUGACAGAGAGAGACUCUGUCUCAAAAAAAAAAAAAAAAAAAAAAAAAANNNNNNNNNNUUUUUUUUUUUUUUUUUUUUUUUUUUGAGACAGAGUCUCUCUCUGUCACCCAGGCUGGAGGGCAGGGGCGCAAUCUCGGCUCACUGCAAGCUCCGCCUCCCGGGUUCACGCCAUUCUCCUGCCUCAG
rnacentral:SRP_RNA from 1 species